UCAUUUUCUGCCACCUAUCUGGGUCUGGGUCACAGUGGCAGCAGAUUUAUCAGCUCAUCCCACAAUUCCCUAUCCUCUGCCUACACUGAACCAUCUCCAA